rnacentral:tRNA from 1 species
GCCCGGAUGGCGAAACUGGUAGACGCAUCGGACUUAAAAUCCGACAACCCACAAGGUUAUGCCGGUUCGAUCCCGGCUCCGGGCACCA